CCUACGGGAGGCAGCAGUAGGGAAUAUUGCACAAUGGGCGAAACCCUGAAGCAGCAACGCCGCGUGCAGGAUGAAGGUUUUCGGAUUGUAAACUCCUUUUGUUAGAGAAGAUAAUGACGGUAUCUAACGAAUAAGCACCUGCUAAAUCCGUGCCAGCAGCCGCGGUAAUACGGUGGGUGCAAGAGUUACUCGGAAACACUGUGCGUAAAGAGCGCGUAGGCUGGAUAGCAAGUCAGAUGUGAAAUCCUUUGGUUUAAACAUAGAACUGCAUUUGAAACUGGUAGUCUAGAGUAUGAGAGAGGUAGGUGGAAUUCUUGGUGUAGGGGUAAAAUGCGUAGAGAUAAAGAAGAAUACUCAAUGCGAAGGCGGCCUACUGGAACAUUACUGACGCUGAUGCGCGAAAGCGUGGGGAGCAAACAGGAUUAGAUACCCGUGUAGUC
rnacentral:rRNA from 1 species